rnacentral:snRNA from 1 species
GUUCUCGCUUCAGCAGAACAUACACUAAAAUUGGAGCAAUACAGAGAAGAUUAGCAUGGCCCCUGCACAAGGAUGAUAUGAAGCAUUCCAUAUUUUU